rnacentral:rRNA from 1 species
AAGGAGGGCGAUUACCACGGCAGGGUUCGUGACUGGGGUGAAGUCGUAACAAGGUAGCCGUAUCGGAAGGUGCGGCUGGAUCACCUCCUUUCUGG